UACGUAGGGUGCGAGCGUUGUCCGGAAUUAUUGGGCGUAAAGGGCUCGUAGGCGGUUUGUCGCGUCGGGAGUGAAAACACUGGGCUUAACUCAGUGCUGGCUUUCGAUACGGGCAGACUAGAGGUAUGCAGGGGAGAACGGAAUUCCUGGUGUAGCGGUGAAAUGCGUAGAUAUCUGGAGGAAUACCGGUGGCGAAGGCGGCAUCCUGGACCGGCAUUGACGCUGAGGAGCGAAAGCCAGGGGAGCAAACGGG
rnacentral:rRNA from 1 species